rnacentral:lncRNA from 1 species
UUUACCUCCUCUAUUUCCCUUCUUUGAGCCUGGUGAACUCAAAUCAUGGUCUUUUUACAGAGCUGGUAUUGCCGAGUUUGUAGCCACCUUCUUGUUCCUUUACAUCACCGUCUUGACUGUCAUGGGUGUGUCUCAGUCUAAAACCAAAUGUGCAACCGUUGGUAUUCAAGGCAUUGCUUGGGCUUUUGGUGGCAUGAUCUUUGCUCUUGUUUACUGUACUGCCGGCAUUUCAGGUCACCUUCCCCUUCUUUUUUUUAUCUUGAACUUGUUGAAGAUGAUGAAGAUUAGUGGUAAAAAGAUGUUUAAUAACCAGAUCUGGGUUUGUUUUUCCCUUCUUUGAGCCUGGUGAACUCAAAUCAUGGUCUUUUUACAGAGCUGGUAUUGCCGAGUUUGUAGCCACCUUCUUGUUCCUUUACAUCACCGUCUUGACUGUCAUGGGUGUGUCUCAGUCUAAAACCAAAUGUGCAACCGUUGGUAUUCAAGGCAUUGCUUGGGCUUUUGGUGGCAUGAUCUUUGCUCUUGUUUACUGUACUGCCGGCAUUUCAGGUCACCUUCCCCUUCUUUUUUUUAUCUUGAACUUGUUGAAGAUGAUGAAGAUUAGUGGUAAAAAGAUGUUUAAUAACCAGAUCUGGGUUUGUUUUUCCCUUCUUUGAGCCUGGUGAACUCAAAUCAUGGUCUUUUUACAGAGCUGGUAUUGCCGAGUUUGUAGCCACCUUCUUGUUCCUUUACAUCACCGUCUUGACUGUCAUGGGUGUGUCUCAGUCUAAAACCAAAUGUGCAACCGUUGGUAUUCAAGGCAUUGCUUGGGCUUUUGGUGGCAUGAU